AGUGAACGCUGGCGGUAGGCCUAACACAUGCAAGUCGAGCGGCAGCACAGUAAGAGCUUGCUCUUACGGGUGGCGAGUGGCGGACGGGUGAGGAAUACAUCGGAAUCUACUUUUUCGUGGGGGAUAACGUAGGGAAACUUACGCUAAUACCGCAUACGACCUACGGGUGAAAGCAGGGGAUCUUCGGACCUUGCGCGAUUGAAUGAGCCGAUGUCGGAUUAGCUAGUUGGCGGGGUAAAGGCCCACCAAGGCGACGAUCCGUAGCUGGUCUGAGAGGAUGAUCCGCCACACUGGAACUGAGACACGGUCCAGACUCCUACGGGAGGCAGCAGUGGGGAAUAUUGGACAAAGGGCGCAAGCCUGAUCCAGCCAUACCGCGUGGGUGAAGAAGGCCUUCGGGUUGUAAAGCCCUUUUGUUGGGAAAGAAAAGCAGCAGGUUAAUACCCCGCUGUUCUGACGGUACCCAAAGAAUAAGCACCGGCUAACUUCGUG
rnacentral:rRNA from 1 species